AUGAUAGUGAAAAUAUAUCAUCAAAUGGGAGAUAUUGUCAAACUUCCUCCUGGGUUUGUUUUCUCUCCAACAGAUGAAGAACUUAUCCUUCACUUUCUAUAUUCUAAGGCUUCUGAUCUUAUACCAUCCCACUCAAAUUUCAUCCCUUAUCUUGAUCUCUCUCUACUUCUUCCUUGGGAAUUAAAUGGUAUGGCUAUGUGUGGGUGGAAAUGA